AGGAGAAGUUGGAGACUGAGACUUAAAAAAAAAUGUCAUUUACCGACAUUGCAUAGUUCACGUAUUAUCUCACUUAAUCCUUAAAACAGCCCCUCUUUUUUUUUUUUUUUUUAAGUUGCAUUUCAAGAUCUUGAAUAACUUGACUACAGUUAGUAAAUGGUGGAGUCAGGAUUUGAGCACAGGUUGUCUGACUUCAAACCCUGUUCAUUACAUUCCUGGUAACACAGGUGGCAAAUUAAUAUGGGAGAAAAAGACAGUGGCUACAGCGGUGGAGAGAAUGGAACAGAGACAUUCAACUGGAGAAACCCUGGGUAUAGUCUCACUGAAGCCAGAAAUGAGAUCAGGGCAGCUGUUGUUAAUCAAUAUUUUAAAAAACACUUUUCCUAAAGUGCUGGUGCAAUUAGAUGAGAAGAUGAAAUAGGAAGUAUGAAUAUUGGGGGAGAAGAGCAAGUAAUCAUAGUUUGCAGAUAAAAUGAUUGUUUAUCUGGAAAACCCAAGACAAUUUCCUGAAAAACAAUUAGAAAAAAGAGAGUUUCGUAAAAUAGCCAGUAACAAAAUUUACAGAAACUAAUAGCUUUUCUAUUUAUCGAACAACUAUCCAGAAGGUAAAAUAAGGUGUCAAGAAAACAAAAACCGCAAAAUGCUUGGAAAUAAACUUUAUAAGGAAUAUGUAUAAUUGCAUGAAAAAAACUAGAAAAUUCUUCUGAGGGAUACAAGAGACUCAAAUAAAUAUGAUACAUACCUAGUUCUUGGAUAGAAAGAUUUAAUACUUUAAAGGUGUCAGGGGUGGGGCCUGUGGCUCAAAGGAGUAGGGCACCAGCCCCAUAUGCCAGAGGUGGCGGGUUCAAACUCAGCCCCGGCCAAAAACUGCAAAAAAAGAAAAAGAAGACUUUAAAAGUGUCAGUUCUUCUUUCAUGAUGUAUAAAAUCAAGAUAAUCUGAUCAAGAUCCUCACAAGAUUUUCAAAUCUUUUUUUGUGUUUUGAGACAGAGUCUCACUAUGUCACCCUUGGUAGAGUGCUGUGACAUCACAGCUCACAGUAACCUCAAACUCUUGGGCUUAAGUGAUUCUCUUGUCUCAGCUGCCCAAGUAGCUGGGACUACAGGUGCCCACGACAAUGCCCAGUAUUUUUUUGUUGCAGUUGUCAUUGCUGGCCCGGGCCAGGUUCCAACCUGCCAGCCUUGGGGUAUGUGGCCGGUGCCCUAACUACUGAGCUACAGACGCCGCCCCUCACAAGAUUUUUAAAGAAUUUGAUGAAAUUAUUAUGAAAUAAUAUUAUGAAAUCUGGAAGUAUAAAAAGUUAAGAGUAGUCAAGAAAAUUUCAAAAAAGAAAAAUGACUAUUUACUCUAUCAGAUAUUAAAAUGUUUUAUAAAAGGUCAAUAAUUAAAAUUCUUAUAUAAGAAUAAACAGAUCAUUGGGACAGAAUAGGAAGUCUGAAAUAGAUACAGAUAUUUAAGGGGAUUUUGUAUAUGAUUAGAUGGCAUUGCAGUUGAGUUGGGAAAAUAUAGGCUGUUUUUUAAAUGGUGUUACACUAAUGGCCCAGCCAUUACAACACAGGCUGAUUUUCUGCCUUACUUUGAUAAGAUUAAACCAGGAAGACCAUGGUGGUAUAACUAUGGGUGAAUAUUUUGAUCAACUUCUUUUUUAAGAGAUGGGGUCUUGCUGUGUUGCCCAGGCUGGAGUGCAGUGGCUAUUCACAGGCAUGAUCGCAGCAUAAUACACCCUCGAACUCCCAGGCUCAAGUUAUCCCCCUGCCUCAGCUUCCUGAGUACCUGGGGCCACAGGUGUACACCACAGUGCCAGGCUUAAAUAUUUUGAUCGUUUGACAUGUUAUCUAACAAUCAUAAAAGAAAAGAUUAAUAUAUUUAACGUUUUGAAAAUUAAAAAGGUAAGUACCUUAAAGGACACUAUAAGAAAAAUUUAUUUUUUAAUUAAAAAAAAUUUUUUAAAGCGAGUCAAAUGUGGAUGUGAGAGGAGACAAUGUUAAAUCAAUUAACGAUAACCCACAACCUUCAGACCAACUAUAAGAAAAUUUGUAAAAAGAGGGAGAGCAUAGAUAUGAUAGAAGUUUAAUCUUGUAUCUAACGGACAAAGAACUCUUACAAAUCAUUAAGAAAAAGAUAAAUAUCUCAUAAGAAAAACAAGCAAAAGAGACGAACAGGCAAUUCACAAAGAAAAUAACUACAAAUGAUUAAAAAAAAAGAUUUUUAUUUACCCUGACUAAUAAUCUCUGCAAUGCCAAUAAAAAUGAGUAUCAUUUGUCUUCUGUUGAUCUGGCCAAGACAUUAUAGCUGAGAAAACCCAGGGUUGGCAUGGGUGUGGACAGACAGAUGCCUGAAUGCUGUGGAUGAAGAGUCCAUUGUUAUAAGCUUUCUGAAGGGCAGAGUGGUAAAAUUCAGACUAGCAUACUCUUAAUUGCCCAAUCUCAUUUAUCACAUUUUAUUCCAAGGAGAUUUUUUUUUUUUUUGCAAAAAUGAGCACAGAGAUAUGAUGAGGAUAUUUAUCACAACAUUGUUUAUGAGAACAAAAUCUUGACAACAUCCUAAAUGAUCAUCGGUUAGAGACCCAGUUAAAUAAAAUAUGAUACAUACAUACAAUGGAAUACUAUGAGGUAAUUAAAAUAAUUCUGUAGAGCUCUAUUAUUGACAGAGAAAGAUGUCUAGGACAUAUUGUUGGGAGAGAAAAGCAGGUGUCAGCGAGAACAGUAUGUAUAAUACAAUUCCUCGUCUAUAAAAUUAUAUACAUAGAUUUCUAUGUGUAUAUGCAUAGAGAUAUGUCUGGAAGGCUGUUCACCAAAAUGCUAGGAGUGGUUAUAUCUGGGUGGUAGGAUCUUUACUUUCUUUUUCAUACUUUUAAGUACUGGUUUGAUUUCUUUUAUCAAUGAAGAUCUAUCACGUUUUUCAAUCAGAACAAAUGAUGAAGCUAUUUUCAUUUUGGAAAUAAGAUCAGUGCUAAACAGGAGGAAUCGGCACGUGGUGAUGUGACCUGUGUGGAUAAGGAGUCAAGAUGUAAGCCAAGAAUUUGCCAAAUUCGGAACAGCAGCUGAUUCCAGAGGAAGAAAGAGGUUCCAACUGCAGUGCCUGUGAGCAGAGUUGGGAGUUGUGGCUGAGUAGUGGCUUCUUCGGAAGACUCUUAAGGAAGACACUUAGUGGGACUCAGCUGCUGGGCUUCUGGUGGGAUUCUGAUCGCGUCGGUGGAAGCAUAACAUCCUGAAUAUGGGAGGACUAGUGUCUGACCUGGAGGAGAGGAAAUGAUGAAUUUAGUGGGGCCAACGUGGGAACACUGCAGAGGCAAAUUCUGGCUCUCUUUAAGGAAGAACUUUGCAGUAAUUGCAGAUGUUUUCACCACAAAGGAGACAAGAAAGGAACUUUAGUUCCUAGAGGCCUCGAACAGACUGUGGACUUUUCGGGUGUGCUGCAGAAGGGAGCAGGCUCUUGGUGGGCAUCAUCAUGGAUUUCUGGGCUCUGUGAGUCUUGGGAGAAGGUCUCCUUGGCUGCUCAGAAGUUGUGUGCCUUCCUCAGAGCCUGUAGCUUUGCUUCUGCUGCUGUGUUCUAUGCCCAAGAAGACUUGGGAUGCUUGAAAUGAACAGUCGGUAAAGGUAAGAUGCGAACACAUAAAUAUCCUCAUUAAGUCCCAAAUGUACAUCCCAAACUUUACACAACAGGAGCAGCAGCUGGAGACGCCCACAGCCCUAAUUGCUUUUCUGUACUAAGAGAACAUCAUCUCUCCAGCUCUGCUUCUCCCAUUCAUUUAGGUAAUUACUGGAGGGAGCCAGCUGCGGCAGACUGGCGGGCAGGCAGCCGCGUUUGUAACACCGCCCAAUGGGUGCCACCACAAGGAUGGGGUGCUGGAGCCUCUCUGCUGUCUUCAUGAGGCACAGGGGCCUGAGGACAGAAGGCUGGAUGUCCAGCUCCAGUCCUGAUCUCAGUGGGCCCAGACUAAGCUGCCAGGAUGGGAGGCUUCACUGCCCAGGGACUUGACAAGCAGGAUUCAGAGCAGCAGGAAGGACCCAAUGCCAGGUACAGGUGUGGGGAUGGGAAUGGAGAGAAGAAUUGACUCUGUUCAACAAAUUGCUCAGAUGCCUUCUCUGAAUCUCCUGCUGGGGUGAGGCCCUGUGAACAGUCAAGUCAGUGAUAGCCCACUGUCCAAGCUCACAGGCCGGGUGGGAAACAAUCAUGGCAGUAAAGCAUUGAGAUCAAGGGUAGCUAUCUGGACUGGGGUGCACAGAGGAUGCAGCCACUGACUCUGUCAUGGGGACAGGAUCAGGGAAGACUUCUUAGAAUAGAAGACAGUGGGAUUGGGCCUUGGAAGUGUGUAUGACCCUGCAGUUUAGAAGGGGAUCCCUCCUGAAAAAAUGUGGCUGAGGUUAUGUGGACUUCGCAAAGUGACAUCUGCCUUGUCCCCUUGCCUCUUGGUCUCUAGUAACCAUCUAGAACUUUCUUGAGGCAGUCCUGAGUGUGGGGCUCUCAGCUGGGAGCUGGCCUGGAAUCUGGGCCCGGCCCUUGGUGUUGGCCAUGGUGGGUACCCGGUAGUGACAGGUGGAGCCUCUCUUUCUUCUGGGGAGCUCUGGGGAGGGCUGUGGCCCAGGCGCUCUGCCCACCAGGCUUCCUGUGGGUGGCAAGUGAAACUUUCUUCCCGGUUCUCUCCCAGCAGCCAGCUCCUUUUCCCCAGCCCCAAGUGGCGGCUCUUUGGGCCGGAAACAAUGUGCUUUCUCCAUGCCUUAGAGUGGAAGUCAGCAGUUUGGCACCGUCUGGCUGGCAGCCUCCACCGGCUUCCUUUGGCACUUUAUUGGCAAAGGCGGUGACAUUUCUUUCAGUUGGGUGGGUGGAGCUGUUAUGCAAACUCCCGCUCUCCUCAUUCGCCAGAUGAAUAUUCAUGACUCAGGCAAUCUGUACCAGCCAGACUUUCCUGAGGGCGGCAGCUUUUCUUCUCUUCCUCUCUCUCUUUUUCUUUCUCCUUCUCUCCUUCCCAGCUCUUUGGAAGCUGAAGUGCAGCUAUAUUUAAUUUACAAAUACAGAGCUGUUUAGCUUGCCUUUUGAGGUGCAGCCAUUGGGGAGGAGCUGCUGGGGACUGGGGACAGGGUUGGGAUGCUUGGCCCUGACCCUGUGUCUCUGGGCACCAGUGUGCAGCACCUGGGUCCUGGGAAGCCUCAGGGCCCCGGAGGACCCUUUGAGCAUGGCAUCUUCGGGUCCCUCAUGGCUAGAAGGAUAGCAGUCCUGCCAUCCUGUUCCAUGCUGGCCUUCAAGGUCAAGGUGGCAAUUGUUGGGCAAGGGUGCUUUCCUGACCAAUUCCUGGGCCAUACCAGCAUACACCAUCUCUUUCCUGCCUGUUGAGGCCACACAAACCCUGCUCCAAGCUCUAGGUCAAAGCCCAAGAGGCCCUGGAGUAUUUGCUAGUCAUUGGAUUUCCAAGCAGACCCUCCUCCCCCCCAGUUGGGGUUCAAUUCCUUGGGACUAUGCUGCUCCCUUUCCAGGAAGGUCAGUUACCUUGCUUCUUUUGUCUCCUUCUAAAGAAACAUCAAGAGCUCUGGUGGAGGGGUCAGAAUUUCCAGAAUUUGCUGGGAAAUUUGGUCUUAGCAAGGAUGUGCUCGCGUGAGUACAUCUUGUGUGCGUGUGUAUGUAAAUAUUUACGCACAGCUUAAGUGAGUCUGUAUGCCUACAUCUAUGUGCAAGUGUUUGAGUGUGUGUCUGUAUGUGUAAGGGCGUGAAUGUGUAUGUCGCGGGAAGUCUGGGAAUGUUUGCAUGUGCGAAUGUGCCUCUCCAGUUAGAGAUGCAUGUGUACCUCUGUGGGUCUGGGGGUGUUGUGCGUAAGGGUGCUUCCGGGGGUGCCGAGAUGUGAGUGUAUGGGUGUGUGUGUUAAGGGGAUUGAAGGUGCAAAAAUGAGAGUUGGAGAGAGAAGCAGAGAGAGAGAGUGUGUGUGUGUUUGUGUUAGGGUGUGUCCCUUCUGACCUCCAGCCCCUUCCAGACCUUUUUCUCUCCAGGAAGGUGGAGGGGGACAUUCCCCUCUUUGCAAGUAUUACAGAUUCUAUCCAAGGACAUGAACAGAAGGUUUUCCAGCACAGAGCAUCCUGAAAUUACUUUCUAUUCCCCCCUCCUUGUUUCAUCUAAUCAAAAUAGCAGCCUUAGGUUGGCCCAUUCUCCCUGCCCACUGCUUAGCUUUGGGGGAGGGAGUGGGAAGGGCCGUCUUCUCUGACCCCCUUUGGGAGCACCUUGCAGCCCUGAGCCAAGGAGCUGUCUUCCAAAUCUCCUUAUUCCUCGGCGGCCCAUGCUUAAGUGGCAAGAGCCAGCUGCCUCCCUGCCUGCCAGCAACUGCCAAGCUCUUCCAGAACCCACAUCCCGGCCCGGCCUCAUUUACAAAUAUGCAAAUUUGCAUCUUUUCUGGUAUGCAAAUGCAGACACGAGAAAUAGCUAAUUAGGGUCAAAAGAAGCAUUCUGAACCAAUUAGUUGUAGGGUUGAUCCCUUUCUGCUGGGAGGAGCCUGGGCCUUCCUGCUGCCCUCCCAAACCUGGCUCCCAGAUGCUUACAUGCUUUCUGGGUCCCAUCUGGCUGGGACCUUGACUGCAAGAGCACAGAAGCAGAAAUUGACACACAAGUCCCACUCCCACCUCUGACUCUGAGUUGUGUCCCUGGACCAGCUUGCCUGGGCCUCAGGCUUUUCCUCUGUAAAAUGGAGUGGUGACAGUUGACUGUCUUGUCCCAAACUAUCGCCCCCAUAUAGGGGAUACUUGGGAGGACUUGGACAUGAACAGCCUCUGAAGACUGUACUAAAAUUUCUCUGAGAGACAUCAGUUGUACUCUUAGGAAAUACCCUUGAUCUCAUGUAAUUGUCACAUCAGCCCUCUGAAUUAGAUGAAUUCCAUGGAGUGACAGGAUGGCAGUAGGUUUCAUUCUUUGCAUUAACUCUGGCUAGUUAUGAAUGGCUGCUCAGAGCAGUGUAUUGAGAAGGAUUCAGAGGCCAAGUCUGGAUUCGCCAAAAAGGAGACUGUAGUCUGUUAGUGAUAUCUGCUGUGGGCCACUGUUUGGGCUCUGGCAGGUCACAUGCUGUGUAAACCUGCACAUCUGUGUAUUGAGUAUGAAAGAUCUGGAAUUUGGAGUAAGAACCUGGGUUCCAGUACUCUCCGCAUCCUUGAUUAAGUUAUCAUACUUACCCUUCCAGGCUUCAGAUUGUACAGAUUAAGAAAGGGAAGGUUUGGCAAAAUCUUUCUGUCAUCUGGGAGGGGAUGUCUGUUUAAUUGACAUGUCAGUGGGACAGGCAUUUCAUCCCAUUUCACAGGUGAGCAGCCUGAGGCCUGGAGAGGGUGGAUGACUUGGAGAAGAAGCUGGCAGUCUUGUCAGGCAGGCCUGCACGGCAGUUGGGGCUGCUCUGCUCUCUGCCACUACAAGAUCCUGCUCCCUCUCGCCAGCCCCAGGCUGAUGCCCCAAGCGGGCUGCAACAAGCCCUGCUGGCUUGGCUCCACUUCUGGGUGUGAAAUUUGGCUGAGUUGGCACCUGGGAGAAUGGGGCAAUUGCUAUCCUGGAGCCUAGGGCCUGGGCCUGGGUCAGUGGGCAGACGAAGGGAUGGUGGGUGGGUCUGAGUGCCAGGGAUCUCGCCAAAGCUGGGCAGUUGGCAGGAAUAGGGUGGAGAGGAUUUGGCUUAAGGACAGCCUACGAGGGAAGCCGAGGGCCAGGGCCUGAGCUAGAACAGAGCUCCACAGUGUGUGUGUCUGCCUGGCUGCUGGCAGUGCCUGAGCACGUCAGCCGGUGUCUCUGAGAGUGUGUUUGUAUGUGUGCAUGCGUCUGAGGAUAUACCUGGGUGCGUGCCUUCUUAUAAAUGUGUGUGCCUGUCAGUACAAGGUAGAUACAUCCACGAUGUUGUGCACAUCUGUGUGUCCGGGGGUCUCUGUGUCUGUAUAAACAUGCACAUCUGUGUAGAAAUGAACUUCUUGCAUGUACACUUCUGUUACUGUCUGUGUACAUGUGCUGUACAUUUCUGCCCUUAGCUGCCAGUGUCUGUACAUUUCUUUCAGUAUCUGUGCAGGUGUGUCCAUACUAGUGAGUGUCUGGACACCAUGGCUAUCUGUGGACAUGGUCCAUGCGUCACUGCACCCCUGCGUCAGCUUGUACGUCCUUUAUGUCUUGUACAUGUACAUAUGUCUGUAAUGUACAUGUCAGUUCGUGUCCCCUAUUGUUAGUGCAUUUCUGAGUGUGUACAUCUACUUGGGUGUUGGUAUCUGCUUCAAGAUUCAGGAAUGCCUGUAUCAAGGUGAGCAAGACGGAAUUUUUUCCUUUUUUUUUUUUGUAGACAGUCUCAGUAUGUCACCCUUGUCACAGCUCACAGCAGCCUCAAAUUCUUAGGCUUAAGCGAUUCUCUUGCCUUAGCCUCCCAAGUAGCUGGGACUACAUGUGCCUGCCACAAUGCCCGGCUAUUUUUUGUUACAGUUGUCAUUGUUGUUUAGCUGGCCUGGGCUGGGUUCGAACCUGCCACCCCUGGUGUAUGUGGCUGGCGCCGUAACCACUGUGCUACGAGUACUGAGCCGCAAGAUGGAAUCUUCCAUGUGUCCAUAGCAGCUCCAGGUCAUCACUUCGUCUUUGUCCUGGAGCUGAGGCUCUCAUGCCCCUUUGCUAUAUUGGAAGGGAAGCUUUGCUCUGAGUUUUCCAGGCUGUUGCCUCUGACCAGACCAGGCCUUGGUGCCACGCAGGCCCUGUGGCUCUUUAAAGUUGUUGUAUGUCCCACUGCGUUUUAAUAAUCAGGGCUUAGCAGUAGCUCAGGGUGAGAUCCCAUGACCUUUCUCCUUCCCUUCUGCGGAGCCCUCUUCCACCUUUCCUAUAGUGUUGGUGAAAGGCAGCCCCACUACCGUCUGGAAGCUCUGCCUGCUUGGACUUCAGAGCGCCUCUGCCUCGGCUCCACUGCUUGUCUGUUGAUGAUCCCUUCUUCAACUUAGGGCACUUGACUUGACUUAGGGCACUCUGUCUGCGUCCAGAUUCCAGCCUUCCGUGUUUGGACCUCCCUGCUCAUCCUCAGGCAGCUUCCCCCAGCUCUGACUGCUCUCGUGUGCUGUCCUCUACUCCAAGCUGCUGAGAGAUCCUUCCAGGUGGGGACUGGGUCAGAUUCAUCCCUGCCUGGCUCACAGCAGUGCUGAAGGAUGAUUCUGGUAAGAAACAGGACGCCCCAACUCACGUGUUGUAAUUAUCAAGUGCCUCCGCAUCCUCCCUUCUCCUUGUAGUCCUCUGCCUUCAUUCAUGAUUUUGGAUGCAACUUAAAAUAAAAAUAUUGAUUAAAAAUCAGAAGCUAUAAAAAUAAAAAUAAAAAUGCUUAAUACUAAUAAGUAUCAUUUGAACUUUAAUAUGAACAGAAAGCAUGUUAAGAAGACGUUUUAUGGACAAUUCCAAAUUAGCAUGGAGUUCUCAGCUGGUAAGUACCUUGACCUUGUUCCCUUGUCUCAGGUUUGGUGGCUGGAUGUUUUCCUCAUUGGAGUUCUGACGAGGCAGGCAGCAAUGCCGAGUUUGAGGAGCUUGGGCUUUAGGUUUGGAUAAGCCUGGGUUGAAUCUCUCAUUUACUAGCUGGGGGAACUUUCCAAACCUGUUUCCUUAUCUGCAUAAUGGGAAGAAAUUACCCUACUUCAUAGGGUGAUUGUGGUGUUGAGAGAAGAUGGUAGAUAGGGCCAGGAGCAGUGCUUGGCACCUGUCAUUCCACUUUCACAUACAGCCUGAAUCCAGCCCUCCCUUUACCUCCAUUGCCAUGGCCAGAGGCCACGCCCAGUGGUCUAGUCUUUACUGGGCAGCCAUAGUGAUCUUGUUAACAUUUAAAUCAUAGCACAUCGCUUUUCUGCUCAAAACCUGCAGUGGCUCCCAUCUCAUCUGGAGUAACAGCCAAGGUCAUCACAGAGGCCUCAAAGCUCUACAUGAUCAACCUGCACCCCAACCCCUCCACCAAUUACUGUCUCUGCUCUUCUCCCCAUCCGCUUCCCUCCAACCACACUGUUCCUGAAUGUUCCUAGCACAUCCUACCUCAGGACCUUUGCAUGUGUCCUUUGUUGGAAUGCUUUUCCCUCAGAAUUCCUCCUGGCCCCCUCCAUCAUCCCCUUCAGGUCUUUACUCAAGUGUCACCUUCACUAAGAGGAACACCCUGCUCUUUCUGAUUUGUUUUAUCUGUGGCCUUUUACCACCAUCUAGUGUGGCAUACUUUUUACUUAAUUAUUUUCUAUGUUGCUUGUCUCUUCCCCAAGAGAAUGUAAGCUCCUUGAGAGCAGGGAGUUUGGUCUUUGUUUUCCCCAUCUGGAAUAGUG